AUACGAUUUCGGUUGUAUCUUAGUGGCGAACGGGUGAGUAACGCGUGAGCAACCUGACUCUUAGAGGGGGAUAACACUGGGAAACGAGUGCUAAUACCGCAUAAGACCACGACAUGGCAUCAUGACGAGGUCAAAGGAGCAAUCCGCUGAGAGAGGGGCUCGCGUCCCCAUUAGAUAGAUGGCGGGGUAACGGCCCACCAUGUCAACGAUGGGUAGCCGAGCUGAGAGGCUGAUCGGCCACACUGGAACUGAGACACGGUCCAGACUCCUACGGGAGGCAGCAGUGGGGAAUAUUGGGCAAUGGGCGCAAGCCUGACCCAGCAACGCCGCGUGAGGGAAGAAGGCUUUCGGGUUGUAAACCUCUGUCCUUGGUGACGAAACAAAUGACGGUAGCCAAGGAGGAAGCCCCGGCUAACUACGUGCCAGCAGCCGCGGUAAUACGUAGGGGGCGAGCGUGUCCGGAGUUACUGGCGUAAAGGGUG
rnacentral:rRNA from 1 species